AGCGAACGCUGGCGGCAGGCUUAACACAUGCAAGUCGAGCGGGCACUUUCGGGUGUCAGCGGCGGACGGGUGAGUAACGCGUGGGAACGUGCCCUCUGGUUCGGAAUAACUCAGGGAAACUUGAGCUAAUACCGGAUACGCCCUUUUGGGGAAAGGCUUGCUGCCGGAGGAUCGGCCCGCGUCUGAUUAGCUAGUUGGUGAGGUAACGGCUCACCAAGGCGACGAUCAGUAGCUGGUCUGAGAGGAUGAUCAGCCACACUGGGACUGAGACACGGCCCAGACUCCUACGGGAGGCAGCAGUGGGGAAUAUUGGACAAUGGGCGCAAGCCUGAUCCAGCCAUGCCGCGUGAGUGAUGAAGGCCUUAGGGUUAUAAAGCUCUUUUAUCCGGGACGAUAAUGACGGUACCGGAGGAAUAAGCCCCGGCUAACUUCGUG
rnacentral:rRNA from 1 species